rnacentral:lncRNA from 10 species
UUCUGAUCAAAAUACAAGUAAGGAGACUGUAUUAGUCCCUUUUUUCAUACUGUUAUAAAGAACUGCCCAAGAUUCUGUAAUUUAUAAAGGAAAAAGGUUUAAUUGACUCACAGUUCAACAUGGCUAGGGAGGCCUCAGGAAAUUUACAAUCAUGGCGGAAGGUGAAGAGGAAGCAAGGCACCUUCUUCACAAGGUGGCAGGAAGGAACAGUGCUGAGUGAAUGGGAAAAGAGUCCCUUAUUAAACCAUUAGCUUUCAUGAGAACUCACUAUCAUGAGAACAGCAUAGGGGAAACUGCCCCCAUGAUUCAAUUACUGUCACCUGGUCUCUCCCAUGACACCUGGGGAUCAUGGGGAUUACAAUUCAAGAUGAGAACUGAGUGGGGACACAAAGCCUAGCUAUUCCACAGACUAAGCUAAGCUGUGAUUUUUGGUAGGUUAGGUCUAUCAAAUACAUUUUUGACUUAUGAUAUUUUCAAUUUACAAUUGAUUUAUUUGGAUGUAACCUCAUCAUAAGUUAAGGAGCAUCUGUAUAUACUAUACACACACACAAACACACACAUUGAUAAAAUGCUUAGCUCAUGUAAAUUUGCUAAAUAAACAUUUUCUUUAUUAUUAUUAUUAUUAUUUUUGUUCCAUCAAAUUUUUCUCUUUUAUCAAUUAGCUCUGCAUCAUUGCUUGUCCUUUGCUGAAUUUUACCACAGUCCAUGUUGGUUCAUAGUGGACAAGCCACUUUCUUAUGUUAAGGCUGAUAUACAAUCAGCAGAGAACUCUAUCUUUAUGCACAAUUGCUCAAAUGUUAGACCUUCAUGAAAUUUUUACAACCCUCUGACCACGUGUGUCCCUGUUAGAUAGUGCACAGAUACAUGUGUUGCUGGAACUUAAGGUGAAGUGGCUCCCCUCCAAUUAACACUCUGAAAAAAAAAAAAAAAAGGCUGCAGCUCUCCAGCAAAACCAUUUCUCUAUGCCUGCUCCAGAUUUAAUGGAAAAAAGGAGUUUUAUAGUAUGUGCUGUCUUUGGCUGCAUGCCACUCAAAAGCAUUCAUCCAUUAUUAAAUUAAAAAUUACUUCAUGGUGCUCACUUCAGCAGCAUAUAUACUAUAAUUGGAAUAAUUUAGAGAAGAUUACCAUGGCCUCUGCACAAAGAUGACACAUUAAUUCAUGGUUAUAUUCUAUAAAUUAGAAAC